AGUGAACGCUGGCGGUAGGCCUAACACAUGCAAGUCGAACGGCAGCACAGUAAGAGCUUGCUCUUACGGGUGGCGAGUGGCGGACGGGUGAGGAAUACAUCGGAAUCUACUUUUUCGUGGGGGAUAACGUAGGGAAACUUACGCUAAUACCGCAUACGACCUACGGGUGAAAGCAGGGGAUCUUCGGACCUUGCGGGAUUGAAUGAGCCGAUUUCGGAUUUGCUAGUUGGCGGGGGAAAGGCCCACCAAGGCGACGAUCCGUAGCUGGUCUGAGAGGAUGAUCAGCCACACUGGAACUGAGACACGGUCCAGACUCCUACGGGAGGCAGCAGUGGGGAAUAUUGGACAAUGGGCGCAAGCCUGAUCCAGCCAUACCGCGUGGGUGAAGAAGGCCUUCGGGUUGUAAAGCCCUUUUGUUGGGAAAGAAAAGCAGCAGGUUAAUACCCCGCUGUUCUGACGGUACCCAAAGAAUAAGCACCGGCUAACUUCGUG
rnacentral:rRNA from 1 species